GUUCGUUGACGCGUCUUCAAGUCUAUGAAAUUUUCGGGUCUAUAUAAGAUCUGGGGACUCGCUUAGAUUUUUCAGUUGGUGGCUACAGUUUUAGGAGUUUGCUUCUACGUUGCUUUAAUAUGUGGAUAUUUUUGGCCUUCCUUGCAACCUCCGCCGUUUGUAUACCAGCUCAGUAUUAUGAUGGAUCGUCUUACAAAUACCUGCCACCCAACAAACAUCCAACAAGAAUUUCCAACUAUCCAAGUGACUCACCUUCCGACAAUAGUCUUUCCAAUAAUGAUGGCUCCACUCACAGCCAACGCCAUGAUCAUCCAGUCGUUGGAAAUGGUCCAACUCAGAACUUUUUGUCUGGAAAUAGUCCGAAUUUUUUGUCUAAUCGGUUUGGUGAUAAUCAAAAAACUAUAACGCCAAUAUCUUCAGGUUUACAUAGGAAACCAUCGCCAGUAGCUAUUGGAUUAUCGCUAUUGGAUAGAGGAGAUAUUCAUAGUCAUAACCAAGGAAGUCACGGAGAACCAAUUAAGUUUGGUAGAUUUGUGGUGUACAGAUCAUGCGCAAAAUGUAAUACUAAUACAAGAACCAAUUUUUAGGUUA